CCUACGGGAGGCUGCAGUGAGGAAUAUUGGUCAAUGGACGAGAGUCUGAACCAGCCAAGUAGCGUGAAGGAUGACUGCCCUAUGGGUUGUAAACUUCUUUUAUAAAGGAAUAAAACGAGGCACGUGUGCCUUUUUGUAUGUACUUUAUGAAUAAGGAUCGGCUAACUCCGUGCCAGCAGCCGCGGUAAUACGGAGGAUCCGAUCGUUAUCCGGAUUUAUUGGGUUUAACGGGAGCGUAGAUGGGUUGUUAAGUCAGUUGUGAAAGUUUGCGGCUCAACCGUAAAAUUGCAAUUGAUACUGGCAGUCUUGAGUACAGUUGAGGUAGGCGGAAUUCGUGGUGUAGCGGUGAAAUGCUUAGAUAUCACGAAGAACUCCGAUUGCGAAGGCAGCUUACUAAGCUGCCACUGACAUUGAUGCUCGAAAGUGUGGGUAUCAAACAGGAUUAGAUACCCCAGUAGUC
rnacentral:rRNA from 1 species